UACGUAGGAUGCAAGCGUUGUCCGGUUUUAUUGGUUUUAAAGGGUGCGUAGGCGGCCUAUUAAGUUAGUGGUGAAAACGUUCGGCUUAACCGGAUACCCGCCAUUGAUACUGAUAGACUUGAGUGCGACAGAGGGUGUUGGAAUGUGUGGUGUAGCGGUGAAAUGCUUAGAUAUCACGCAGAACACCAAUUGCGAAGGCAGAUGCCUAUGUCGUAACUGACGCUGAGGAACGAAAGCGUGGGGAGCAAACAGG
rnacentral:rRNA from 1 species